GGGCCCGUGGUGUAAUGGGAGCACAUUAACCUGUCCAGUUAUAAGGUGCGGGUUCGAAUCCCGUCGGGUCCA
rnacentral:tRNA from 1 species